CGAUACAGCGCGGAUGUCCAUGCGUGUUCCGCGCUCCACUCGGACGGUGAUUUCUGUUGCAUUGCGCGCUCACUUCCGCUUUUGAUGACGUAUCGUGCUCAGGCGAUUAGUCGACGCGUCGUUUGUGGCAGCCCUAUCUGGUAGCAUCUCUGGUUGCUGUUGACCUUGUUUUUGGAGUAAAACACGGUGGAAGCUGAAUUAGUGAGGAUGACUCCUGCUCCUGUCAUCUCUAAGCUCCUCACACAUCUUUACCUGCACAUGAGGAAAAUCACUCCUGUAGAAUGCAGAUGUUCAGAGGGAGAUGAUGCCACAUCUGGUCCAGCUGAUGGAAGGUCUUGAAGUUCUCUGACUGGCCUCGACUGAAGAUGGUCCUCUCACUAUGUUUAAGGUUCAGAUGCUCAGUAACAAACUCCAACAAUGUGCCAACAGGGAAGCUUUAGGUUUAAUUAAAUGUUGUUAUGAAGGUAUCGCUGUUUUUCUUUGUGAAUGCAAUGUGCUCCAACUGAAACUUGAAUUAGAACUUAGAAGUAAAUCCUUCCAUCUGAAAGGAUUUAGUUGCAUUAAUAACCUCAUAACAUUCUAAUUUUUAUUCCAGUCUUGGUUGGAAAUAGAAUCUCUGUAUUGAUUCAGGUAAAAACUGAACUUCACCGCAUGUUGGAGCAAAACAACCAGAUGAAAACUGUGAUGUUGUUGGAUUGUCAGACCGUAAUGUUGCAGCUCAAAGCAGCUUUUCUAUCUCAGUUCAUUCUGACAUUCAGCUAUGAAUCAACACAGCAGAUGGUGAUCCAUGCUGUGGAAGUCUCACAUCUCCUGAUUUAAUGGCGCUGCUUUGCACUUUUUACGCUGUUUAUUCACCAACACUUUAUUUAAUAAAAGUCCCAUCUAGUUUUUAUGAGGAAAGUGAUGUUUUAAUUUCUCUGUGAAUAACUGCAGUCUAAUGCAACAGCUGGAGUUGUAACAUCUGUCCUGAUAUUGAUCAUGAAGUAUUGAUCAGAAUACUUAUGGUUAGCAGUCAUCCCUGAAGUUUUACAUUAAAAUCUUUACUUGUGUUGUGAACUUUGGUAAGAAGCAGAAACUUUUACGUUGCCAUGGAUACAUAAGUGUUAAAUUCUGUCCAUGUUUCCAUUUUGGGAAAUUCAGUCCAGUUCCAGAAUGUGGAGGAAUUUAGUCUCAAUCACAGACAACAAAUAUUAUCUGAAAGUUGAGUUAUUGUUGUUUAUCAGCAUAAUAUAAAAAGAUUAAUGUUAGAAAUAUUCCAGUUAAGACUCUAGAAUAUCAUGAUUUAUGUAAAUUUACCUCAAUAAUAUAAAUGUUCAGGUUAAGAUUGUACAGUGAUAUUUAUUAUGCAAGUUUAGCUGUUUAAAGUUUAUGACUCUGCACUAAAAUAUUAUUUAAACUGACAUCAUUAUUAUAAUAUUUAGGGUCAGACCCUACUGUAUUGAGAUUAAGAAAUCAAAUAUUCUAUAAAAUGUAAAUACACUGAACUCAUUGGGAUAUAUUUAAGUGAGACUCUACAAUAUUAUUUGACACAAAUCUAUCUAAAUCAAAAUUUUAAUCAUUUUUACUUCAAACAUUUACUGGACUGAUUUAAACAUUAAAAUCACUCCUUUCUAAUCCUCUGCUGUACGUUCAAAACUGAGGCCUUAAAUAGAAACACACAAGUAUCUGAUUGAAGGAACUUCUGCAGAGUCCUGGUUCCAGAACACGAUGAUAGAAUUAUAGACAAACUUUAACAAAAGCUGCCUGAGAGUUUACAGGUUUUCAUGUUAGAUUUCUUCAGUAAUUUAAUGAGAGUUAUCAGCAAAAAUCAAGUGUUCAUUUGAUGAACUUCAUUUCCUAAAACAUCCAGAAUUGGAGCUCAUAUCUUUGACAGCUGUAAAGUUUCUGCUCCUUCAAAGUUCACAACACGAGUGAAUUAAUUCCUAAAACACUCUCAAUGCUGGAGAGCGUUUGUGAUGCUGAAGCAGUGAUCAGUUUUUCUGUUUCUUCUCUGGAGAUGGACAAAGAGGGACAUCUGCAGAGACUGAGAAAGAGUCUCACCUCAUCCUGACAUGAGGAAAAAGACUUUAUUGAAGACUACAAUGAGAAAAACUAUCAGACAGCAGACGGCUGCAUUCAAGUCUGUAGCUGCUGAAUUCAUGGAUGAAUCAUCUGGCACUAGAGAGGAAGACCAUCAAACAUCCACAUCAGCUGAUGGAGAUCCAAGAGUCUCACCGAACAAACAACCUACAGAGUGAAGACCUCAAAUCUGAUUGGACGGCCUCCUAUUCAGCCACGUGUCUCAACAAAUGCCUCUAAGUUGAUUUGUUUUCUAAAAUAAAUCUAGUUUGAGUCCUAAUCUAUGCCUGUGUGUUUGCUUCUUUACACUGCUGUUAACAGUUUAGGCUGUUAGAUUGUUCCAGAUAAGACAAGUACAAGAUUCUUCAGAGCCGUUCUACCACGAGCCUGACAGGAAGAACUCCAACAGCUACUGAAUGUUCCUGUGGUCCCCUCAAGGCUACAGGAGGAGCCCUACGAGGACGAGCCGGUCCACCUGAUGGCGGCCAGUCGCUGCGGUUCAAAGCCAACACCG
ensembl:lncRNA